GACGAACGCUGGCGGCGUGCUUAACAUAUGCAAGUCGAGCGACUGCAUUCUUUUCGGAGGGUGUAUGGAGCGGCGAACGGGUGAGUAACACGUGAGUAAUCUGCCUUUGGCUUGGGAAUAACUUCGGGAAAUCGGGGCUAAUGCCUGAUGUUUACUGUCUGCUGCAUGGUGGGUGGUGGAAAGAUUUUUUGUCGACGGAGU
rnacentral:rRNA from 1 species